GACGAACGCUGGCGGCGUGCUUAACACAUGCAAGUCGAACGGAAAGGCCCUGCUUUUGUGGGGUGCUCGAGUGGCGAACGGGUGAGUAACACGUGAGUAACCUGUCCUUGACUUUGGGAUAACUUCAGGAAACUGGGGCUAAUACCGGAUAGGAGCUCCUGCUGCAUGGUGGGGGUUGGAAAGUUUCGGCGGUUGGGGAUGGACUCGCGGAUUAUCAGCUUGUUGGUGGGGUAGUGGCUUACCAAGGCUUUGACGGGUAGCCGGCCUGAGAGGGUGACAGGCCACAUUGGGACUGAGAUACGGCCCAGACUCCAACGGGAGGCAGCGGUGGAGAAUAUUACACAGUAGGCGGAAGCCUGAUGUGGCAACGCCGCGUCCGGUAUGAGGUCCUUCGGGUUGUAAACCGCUUUCGCCUUUGACGAGGCGUGAGUGACGGUAAUGGGUAAAGAAGCACCGGCUAACUACGUG
rnacentral:rRNA from 1 species